rnacentral:rRNA from 1 species
CAGCCGCCACGGUAAUACGUAGGUGGCAAGCGUUGUCCGGAAUUAUUGGGCGUAAAGGGCUCGCAGGCGGUUUCUUAAGUCUGAUGUGAAAGCCCCCGGCUCAACCGGGGAGGGUCAUUGGAAACUGGGAAACUUGAGUGCAGAAGAGGAGAGUGGAAUUCCACGUGUAGCGGUGAAAUGCGUAGAGAUGUGGAGGAACACCAGUGGCGAAGGCGACUCUCAGGUCUGUAACUGACGCUGAGGAGCGAAAGCGUGGGGAGCGAACAGGAUUAGAGACCCCGGUAGUCCCUGUCUCUUAUAC